rnacentral:rRNA from 1 species
CGUAGGGGGCUAGCGUUGUCCGGAUUUAUUGGGCGUAAAGAGCUCGUAGGUGGUUCGGUAAGUCGGAUGUGAAAUCUCCAGGCUCAACCUGGAGGGGUCAUUCGAUACUGCCGUGACUAGAGUUCGGUAGAGGAGUGUGGAAUUCCUGGUGGAGCGGUGAAAUGCGCAGAGAUCAGGAGGAACACCCGUAGCGAAGGCGGCACUCUGGGCCGAUACUGACACUGAGGAGCGAAAGCGUGGGGAGCGAACAGGAUUAGAUACCCUGGUAGUCCACGCCGUAAACGUUGGGCACUAGGUGUGGGGUUCUAUCGACGGAUUCCGUGCCGUAGCUAACGCAUUAAGUGCCCCGCCUGGGGAGUACGGCCGCAAGGCUA